rnacentral:rRNA from 1 species
GACGAACGCUGGCGGCGUGCCUAAUACAUGCAAGUCGAACGCAGUGGGGACGGGUGAGUAACACGUGGGUAACCUCCCCUCAGAGGGGAUAACCCUUGGAAACAGGUGCUAAACCGCUACUGAUGGAUGAACCCGCGGUGCAUUAGCUAGUGGGUGAGGUAACGGCUCACCAAGGCGACGAUGGAUAGCCGACCUGAGAGGGUGAUAGGCCACACUGGGACUGAGACACGGCCCAGAGUCCGACGGGAGGCAGAAGUAGGGAAGCUGCGGCAAUGGACGAAAGUCUGACCGAGCAACGCCGCGGGAGUGAAGAAGGUUUUCGGAUCGUAAAACUCUGGUGUUAGAGAAGCGGUAUCUAACCAGAAAGCCACGGCUAACUACGUGCAAGCAGCCGCGGUAAUUC